UGUAUGCCUGCAAUAUGGCAAAUCAUGUGGUCUAAAGAGAAUGAACGUGAGAAGGCCAUAGAAGAAGCGAUUCAGCACCUGAAAACUUUGGAAAAUGAGCUCAAAGACAAGAAAUUCUUUGGGGAGAGACAAUAGGGCUGGUAGACAUUGUUGCCAAUUUCAUAGGCUUCUGGUUGGGAGCCGCUGAAGAAGCUACUGGGAUGGAGUUGGUGAAUAAAGAGAGGUUUCCCGUACUUUGCAAGUGGAUUGAUGAGUACGUUAACUGUAGCGUCGUCAAAGAAAAUCUCCCUCCUAAAGAUAAACUGAUAGCUUUUCUGCGACCCCGCUUAAGUGCUUCCUCAUGGAAGUAUUAGAAUUGAUCACUGAAGGGCCAUGUUAGCUGUGUGAGUUUAUGAUAUGAUCCAUGUUCUUCUUUCUUUGUAAUAAUAUCAUGUGGAUCUGUGUCCUAUAUUGUUGCUUCUGUUUACCUUAGGCGUAGGUCAUAUGUACCUAUUAGGAUGACGAAUAAGAGACAGUGUCCUUCAAAUCCUUGUGAUCAUUUUGAGUUCUCUAUGUAUCUUGAUGUCUGCUUUUCCUUUAUUAAUUUCAUGUUUAGAAAAUUUCUUUUCGAGACAUCUAAUUCAGAUAAUCAAAUGGCUAAAAGAGGUUCUCAGCUUUGGUACUUCAGCUUUAUGUUAUUUGAAAAUGAAAGGUUAGGUGGCUGCAAGAGUUUUCCACGGAAAAUUGAGAAUUCAUACACAAGACAUCCACAAGAGCAUGUUGAACGAAAAAGGCUUAGGAUUAAAAUAAUUUAUCAACUUGAUUUGAUUAAGGAUUCAAAAUAUUUGAGAUUGAUAAUCAAGAUAAGAUUAAGAAAUUUUUACCUGCAUUCGUCACUCUCAAAGUUAUGACUUUUAAGCACCACCCUCAACUUCUUGAUGGUGCAUGUUAUAUAUAUAUAUAUAUAAACAGUAAAUAAAUUCAGUAUGUUUGGCCAUGGUCGAGACGGAGUGAAAUGAAAACAACAACACAAGUAGCUUCUCCACUUUCACGCUUACGCAUAAACAUUUUCACCUAUGCAACACUUCUUUUCUAUGUUGGAUAAUUAGUUAAUCUUUUCAUUCUAGUAAUCUAAUUUAUUUUCCUUGAUAAAAAUGGUUGGUAGCUAAUGAUUGGUGUCUAGUAGACCAAAGUCCUUUUGAGUGUGCCUUCUAACUCUUGUAUACCAAAUAGGAUGUUUUCUAGCCCUAUCUAUUAAGGACACUUUCUAGCCCUCAACCAUCAGAUAGUACGUUUUCUAGCUCUAUUUUUUUUCCUUUCUAGUAUGCUUUCUAGCUCUUGUAUACUAAAAUAGUGCGCUUUUUAGCCUUAUCCAUUAAAUGCACUUUCUAGCCUUACCUCUAUUUCCUUUGAAUGCAUCUUUGAACCCUCAUCUCCCUAAUAGUAUGCAUUUUAACCCUAUCUAUAUCUCUUUUGGGUGUGCUUUGGAACACUCAUCUCCCUAAUAAUAUGCUUUCUUGCCCUAUUUGUUACUGAGCAUGCUUUUGACCCCUCACUUAUAACACUUUCAAAAGGAUUGAUCAUUUUUGAUAUGGUAAAUCCACAAUCUCCCAUUCUUUUUUCUUCUUUAAAAACUUAGUAUCAAAAGUUUCUUAUGAAACUUUCUAUCAUAAGACUUGUAUAGAGGGAGCAAUUUUCAUGACCCAUUUACCUUUUCCUUUCAAAAUAUAAAUAAAAAAAAAACAAUAAUAAUAAUAAGACUGCUAGUUUGGCAAAGCAGGCUAAGGAAGGUUUCAAAUACGUAUAAAAAUCAAGCUGGAAUUUUGGAUGGGCCAAUAUGAUUUAAUCAUGGGCCAAAUUAAAAGUUUAAUUAUGUUUAGGAAUUAAUUUGGGUCAAAUUAAAAUAUUUAAUUAGAUGCAAGGACUUGAUUAUAAUUUUAAAGGGUCAAAUUCAUUUUAUUAGAGACUUAAUUGGUGAAAAAUUAAGUUUGAGAGCCUAAUAUGAGCUUAAUCAAGAAGAAUAAAAUUUUAGAGGGCCAAAUUUAAUUUUUAUGAAGUCAAUUGAUUGAAAUCAAGGAUAAAAUAGCAAGGAAAUCAAAGUUUAGGAUCAAUUAAGGGUUAAAUUGAACAGAUUUAUAACCAAUGACCUUUUUGAAAAAGACGUUAAACUUUAGGGACUCAAUUAGUUUGAAAACAAUGGUUAAAUUGAAGUAAAUUGAAAGUUUAAUGGUUAAUUGAGGGUCGAUUUGUAUAAAUCUAAAAUCAAAGAUCAAAAUGAAAAAGACGUUGAAAUUCAGGGUUGGUAUUGGAGUUCGACAAGGGUAAAAUCACAUAAAAUUAAAAGUUUGAGGUCAAUUCGGGAUGCAAUUAAAAGAAAUCAAAAGUUAAAGGACUAAAUUAAACUUUAGUCAAAUCGCUAAUUAAAAUCUUAAGAAAAUAAAACGGUGUCGUUUCACUUAAAUGAAAUGAUGCAUUUUGACCAAAACAGUUUGUUUUGGUACAAAACAACAUCGUUUUGACUAGCACAGGAACAAAAAAAAAAAAAAGAGGCGUCAGACAACUUGUCGUCUGGUUGUUGUUCAUCAUCUUCAACCUUUUGUACCAGAAAGGCUGCUUGGGUGGCUAUUUUUUAGAGCAUUUAAUGCUUUGUCUCUCCACUAAAUCGGACAAACCAUACACCAUUAUAAUGGUUUGACAUUGUACUACACCCUAGCGUAGUUCUUGCUGAUUAAUUGCCUUUACAAUUGUUACGGUGUAGCCCUAAAAAGACUAACCCGAUCAGCCUUUAUCAGCCGAUUCUAGCAGCUCAUUAUGAUAACUUUGAGCCAACAAUUGAGAUCAUUUUCGAUUGAAUCAAAAGCCAAGAAUGGUCCCUAUUAAAAACAAGAUGUCUUUCUUUCCCCCUAUAAAUAGAAAUGAAUUUCAUGCAUUAAGGAGCAAGAGAGAAGAGUGCAAAGUGAGCAAAACACCAGAUUUUUUAGCAUUUUCAACAUUGUUUUCUCUUCGUAGUCGUUACAAACUUCCUCUUUGUUGUGAAUCCUAGCAACUUCAGCAUCUACACCAUGAUCAACAACAACCCAACAUACUUAUAACUCCAUCUUCUCAUUAGCAAUAGGGGUAAUCUCAUUGACGCCUAAUCUCUUCCUUUAGCAGCAAUAUCCAUUUCAAACCAGUCUCUUUGUCUUUAGUUUCUCCACCAACAGCUCCAUUGUGAGCUGUUAGUAACAACCCAUCCAACCAAGGUAAGCUUCUUCAUCCUUCCUCCCCUGUAAUUUUAUACAUGUAUAGAGGACAUUUAUUAAUUAAUGUCCUAUAAGUGUUGGCUUUCGUCAGUAAAUAUAAGUUGGGUUGGACCCGUUUCAACCCAGCCCACAUGGCUGAGCCGGGUCCAACUCAUUAAAAAUAAAUAAAAAAGUAGAAAGGAUUGUUGGGCUUACAGUUGGCCCAAAAAUAUACUAAUAAAAACAUGGUUAUUAGUAGCACCCCUAACUAAGAGUGGUGAUGACCAAUCACAUCCAUCCCUUGAAAAUUAAUGCAUUUAGCAUUGCAGAGAUUACAUCUAUCCUUAUCCUAAGAUACGUUUUGAAAAGCCUUCAGAUAUCACUUAGAGAGAAUAAAUAGUCAUUUUGAAUAAAUCAUUUAUAUUCAUGAAACUUAUAAUUUUUUCAAGGAUUAUACAUAUUGAGGUGACCUAAGUGAUAGGUAUGAGAGAGGUUCUUGGUGGUGUAACCAAACAACUCUUCAAUAACACAUUCUGUAAAAUGUUUCCUAAACGCAUAUGUUAAAAGGGGUUUGAAACUAAAAUUCUAAAGUUUGGCAGACAAGGAUCUAUUUGUUAAUUUUUUUUUUCCAAUAAUUGGAUCUUUUAUCAAAUAUUAUUCUGAUUAUGAAAUUUACAAGCUCCAAUAAGCAUAAAUAUAUCGGUAGAGGAGAGAGAGAGUUUGAUGAUAUUAAUUGGAAAUUAAGAUAAAAGACUUUUAAUAAGUCAAAUAAAUUUUCCAACCUUCAGGCAAAUUAAUUAGCUUAGAUAAUGUUGAAUAUUAUGAUAACAAUUAUUUUUCAAAGUAUUUUUUAUUUAAAAAUUUAUCAAAUAAUUUUUUAUUUUGUUAUUUAAAAUUUAUUUUUGAUAUCAGUACAUCAAAUAAUUUAAAAAUAAAAAUAAAAAAUAACUUUAAACAAAAACUUAAAAUUAAAAAAAUAAAUUUUUUUAAAAAAAACACGAUUUGAAUGCAAAACAAACAUACCUAAAUAAUUGAAUUUGGAAACCAAUAUAAAAUGCAUUCAGUCAAAUUGUUUUUGGCAGUGCUCUUGGAUAUAACCCUUCGAAUGAAACUCGAUACAUCCAAUAACGAUCAUUCAUUACUUAUAUUAAAUCUAUAUAGAAUAUUGAUGACAAUAUGUAUUAAUUAAUAAUGUGAACUAAAAAACUUAUUGGUACUUAAUUAAUUAGCCAUAAUUGGUUUAGUUCAAACUUAUUCAAUCUAUUUUAAUAGUACCUUUCAAACAUUAUUAAUUUUCUAAAAAUUUUGGCUUCUCUAUAUUUGCUGAAAUUUUCAACUUAACAAUAAAAUUGACAAAAUAAAAAACAUACUUAUUAAAUAAGCCAUUGUUUAUUUCAUACAAAUUACAUAAAUCACAAAAUCAAACUCAAUUUCAUCAAAUUACAAACAAAUACAAUGUUUGAAAAUUUCAAACAAACCCUAACAGUACAAAUCAUAUAUUCAUAUAAUAAAUUUCUAUAGGAAAAAGCUAUAUAACAAGUAAACACAAAAGUAAACUACAUAUUCUAUAUCAAAAUGACAAAAAAAUUAACAUUUUAAAAAUGGAUUACAAAAAAACAAAAAAGUAGUUUUGCUUACUUGAUGUGGCCAUUUUUUUUAAAAAACAAAACAAAAAACAAAAAAAAAGAAAGAGAGGGGGUCAUUUGUCAGGUUAUAACUUAAAUAUUAUUGAUGGAUUCCUUGAUACAAAUUAGCGAUGGUCAUAUUUCUUUGAUAAUUCCGCCUGUAAUAAUAAACAUUAUUUUUCUUUUUAUUUCCUUUAUUUUCAACAGUUAUUCUCUAGGUAUACACCAACAUAAAAUUUCUCUCGUAAAUAUCAAAGGACUUAGUGAGAAGAUGCUUUGUCGAUAAAUAUUACUAUAAAUUAUCGAUGAGUUUUUUUAUUAAUAAAUCUAUUUAUAUUUGAUAAUAUUUUGAUAGUGUAACCAGACAGCUCUUCAAUAACAAUGUUCUGCCAAAUGUUUCCUAAACACAUAUGUUAAGAAGGGUUUCAAAUUAAAAUUCUAAAGUUUGGCAGACAAUUAUCUAUCCCUGAAUUUAUGGCCACUAAUUGGAUCUUACUAGCUCUAAUAUAUAUAUACAUCUAGGAUAGGUUGACAGAGGAGAGAGAAAGAGUGGAAAUUAAGAUAAAAUAAUAAGUCCAAUAAAUUUUCCAAUCUUCAGUCAAAUUAAUUAGCUCACAACACUAAGAUAAUGUUUAAUAUAAUGAUUUUAGUUGUUUUUAAUAGUAUUUUUUUUAUUUAAAAUUAUAUUAAAAUAAUAAUUUAUUUUCGAUAUUAGUACAUAAAAAUAAUAAAAAAUUUAAAAUUUUCCAUUUAAAACAAAAACAAAACAAAAAUGCCAGAUUGUUGAAAUUAAAACGAAUAUAAAAUGCAUUCAGUGAUGCUGAGAGAGAGAGGUAUUAAGAUUUAAGAAUGUUAUUUUGAAAGGACUUCUACCCACCGCCGUUUACUAUUAUCAAAUACGAUGAAAAUGUCAAAACUCAAAGAGUAAGAAAUUGGGUACUUCCUUUCUGAUUAAGUAAUCUUGAUCCCCAUAACUCGAUAAAUAGGCAUGCAGAGAACCUAGAAGCAGCACAGCACUUCAAAGUUGCUUACGAAUAUUCAACAGAGCAAAUAGGCAGAAGUGAUAAAUACUUGUGAUAUGGCUGAAGUUAAGUUGCUUGGAGCAUGGGGAAGCCCUUUUAGUCGCAGAGUGGAGAUGGCUCUUAAAUUGAAAGGUGUUGAAUAUGAAUACAUAGAAGAAGACUUAGCUAACAAGAGCCCUUUGCUUCUCAAACACAACCCCAUUCACAAGAAAGUCCCUGUCCUCCUCCACAACGGAAAAACAAUGGCAGAGUCGCUUGUGAUUCUUGAGUACAUAGAUGAAACUUGGAAGAGCAACCCCAUCUUACCUGAAGAUCCUUAUGACAAAGCCAUGGCUCGAUUCUGGGCUAAAUUCAUCGACGAGAAGGUAAGACCAUUAAUUUCUUCAGUUUUUCUUUAAUUAAAAUAAGCAGCUUACGUACUACAUAUAUACUAUAAUACUUGUAUUGAAUAAAAAAAGGAGGAUGAAGAAAAAAAUACAACUCAAAUUCGGUUUUGAAUUUCCCUUUCUAUAGUGUAUGCCUGCAAUAUGGCAAAUCAUGUGGUCUAAAGAGAAUGAACGUGAGAAGGCCAUAGAAGAAGCGAUUCAGCACCUGAAAACUUUGGAAAAUGAGCUCAAAGACAAGAAAUUCUUUGGAGGAGAGACAAUAGGGCUGGUAGACAUUGUUGCCAAUUUCAUAGGCUUCUGGUUGGGAGCCGUUGAAGAAGCUACUGGGAUGGAGUUGGUGAAUAAAGAG
rnacentral:lncRNA from 1 species